ensembl:antisense Tmem51 opposite strand 1
AGGCUGGAGGGCCUGGCCCUGCAACGCAGUGUAGGGUCCCGGACCUCCCAGUCUACGGCUAGGGGAUGGCUUUCUAGAGGGGCACUUGCGGGAUAAUGGGAGCUGGGAGUCCCUAUUCGGUGACCUCACCUGGUUGCAAACUCACCUUCUUGUGAGCGCAGGCGGCCGCUCCUGCGACUCCAGGCAGCCAAGCCCAACCAUGGGCGGAGGAGGAAAGGAGGAAGGAAGCGAAGUUUUCCCAGCCUCUCAGCUCAUGCUUUCGACCAGCUUCCCACUCUCUGGUGUCCCGGACGCCCUCCAGAUCGCCACUUCGAGCCCCAGCCUAGCUCGAGAGUGUCCCCGUAAGGGGCGCGUUCCCAGCUUGGCAGAAAACUUUCCAGCGAAUCACAGGCUGGCUUCUCCCUCCGCCUGGAAACGGGGAGGGUGAUCUGAACUGAGUGGCGCCUCACCUGCCUGGAAGUUUGCCUGGGAACCCCACGACUCCAGGCACAGAUCUGCGUGCCCUGCCAGCUCUGAAUUCCGACCUGGGUGGCUUCGUGGGUACGCAUCCAGCUCUUUGAAGUUCAAGGCCUGAGAAGUCCCUGGGCAGCCGGGUGUCAGAGAAUUCGCCUGGGGUUAAAAGGCGCCUCCUACUGGAGCUGCCUGCCUCCUUAUCUCACCACACUGCUACCUCACCAGAACUGGAGGCAUGUGUCCUUGGGGGAAACAAUCCAAAGACAUGAAUCUCAAACAGUGACUUCUAUUACCUGUUGUGCUGUCUAGUUUUAUGGGAGGCCUCAAAAAUGAGAAGAUUCUAUUCUUGGAUCUGCCAGCACUGGGGAUGUUUUGAUUUAAGCUGAGGGUCUCUGCAGGACCCUGGCUCUGAAUACCCAUGCCAGGAAUUUCCAAGAGCUGGCAGAAUAAUGGGCACCCAAAACUGUUCACAUCUCAGUCUCUGGAACCCAGGACCUUAAGUGGUAGACUAUAGCUCUGCAGCAGUUCCUGGCAAUUUGUUACAGUAGCCACGGGGAAUGGAUACAUCUAGCACUUUCAGCUGGAUAGGCCAAUGCUGAUUUCACCAGCCCUUCUGCUGACAGUCCACUGGAAAGUUCUUCCCUCAAGAGACAACAUGAUAUAGCUUGAUUCAUGGAUUUAGAAAGAGGAUAAGAUUUCAUCAGAUCUGCCUUUAUUUGUUAUUUGGCUUCUCGGCUAUUUUGAACUGUGUGACCUUGGGAAAAUGUCUUAUUUUCUCUGGGCCCCAGUUUCUUUUUUUAAAUGUAAAAACAGUGAUGCUGGUUAGGUACACAGGAGGCACAUGCCUAAGGCCCCAGAUACUUCAGAUGCUGAGGCAGGAGGAUGGCACUUUUGAGGCCACCUUGGAAAACCUUCUUUUGUUGUCAGAUCAAUAUGAGUAUCAGAGGCAGCAGCAGGAUGCGAUGCUCUGUGUGAGUCCCCGUGAGAUCUGAACUGCAGUUGCUGAGAACUGAACUGCCCCCUCGGGAACACAGGACUCCUUAGAGCAGGCUUGUCUGAUGGACCGUUCCUGAACUCUGGACUCAUGAUGCUGGAGAAUGAACAUCUAGCUGGGCUUGGUGAUGCACAUGUGUAAUCCCAGUGCCUUUGGAAACUGAGGCAGGGGGAUCAGAAGAUCAAGGUCACCCUUCCUGAGAAUAGCUUUGUGUGGUUCUGUCUCAACACACACACCAAAAAUC